UAUAGAUAUAUGCACUGUGGAUUAGGAUCACAGUAAAGAAGCCUGGAGUCUCAGAGAAGUAUGGCUCCAGGUUCUGCAUGGAGUAGGAUCCCAGUCAGCAGCAGGAGCUAUAAUUCAAGCUUCUACUUUAGUGACCCUGUUCCAUUGUUCCUGGUAUAUACAGCUUUCUACUUUAGUGACCCUGUUCCAUCGUUCUUGGUACAGGAUCACUUCAGUUAUAAGUAACGCAUGUGCAAGUUCUGUUCAAGCUAUUAGACAAAGGAGCUUUAACACCGAAAGCUGCCACUAUCAAAAGUACUAACUUGUUGUGUGGAGGCUACUCAUGCUGUAAACGCAGUGCUAGAGCAUCCAGGUAAGCAGACCUAGUCACAAGCUUAUUCAAGCUUCUUAGCUUUUGCUCGACAAAGAAGCUUAACAGCAAAAUCUGCCACUAUGUAAAUCAAGAUAUUGUUGUGUGAAGGCUAUCCAUGCUGUAAACGCAGUGCUGUGGCAUCCAGGUGAGUAGAUAUACCUGUGACAAACAAACAGACAAACAAACAAACCUAGAGCACUAAAGUGCAAACCCUCGGCUGGUGACAUGAUAAUAAAGAAACCAGAAGAGUGAUAAUGCAGUGCAUGUAGCAUGUAUGACUAGCACAGCAACUCAAGAGCAAUAAAACUAAACCAGACUUGGAGGCAUGCUGAAACAUUGAGUGGUACAUGUCACAUUAGACAUGCACUGUGGACAGGGAUGACAGCAAAGAAGCCUGGAGCUUAGACUUAAAGAGGUAUGGCUCCUGCCAGGCUGGAGUAUAGGAUCCAGAGUUAGCCAACAACCAGUCACAAUUUUAGCUUUCUACUACAAUUAUAUUUGGUAAGGAUCACUUCAGCUGCAACUACGUAAUCAAGGCCACGUGUAGCUAGCUAGCUGCCAAUGUGCAAGUUCAAGCUUCUUAGCUUUUGCUCGACAAUGAAGCUUUAACAUCAAAAUCUGCCACUAUUUAAAUCAAGAUAUUGUUGUGUGAAGGCUAUCUAUGCUGUAAACGCAGCGCUGUGGCUAGCCUCGAUUCCAAGCCGCUGAGAAAGGCGUGGUAUACACUGUUUACGCAUGCGCCAGAAUUACCAAGAAUCUUGGUAAUCGUAAAUUGCAGUAUAUUUAUCAGUAUUCUUAUUCCGCAUUAGUUUGUAAAACAUUGAUAUCCGUUUCAUUUAUAAUGAUGUCAUUGAAAAAAGAAAUCUAGUACAAGUUGUGUAAUGGCUGCUACCUUCUCUUCUGUACGCGUUAUCCUGUGUUGGAAUACCAGGUCUAGUCUUGAAAGACAAGCAGCUGGAGGCGCUGAAGUGUCUGUACGCUGGUGUUUAUGUGGGUACCGUACUGACCGGCUAUGGUAAGUCCCAGAGCAAGUCCAUCUGCUUUCCAGACACUCCCUUUCUUGAUUGAUGUGAAGCUUGUCAGGACCAGUGCACCUCUCUCUGAAAGAAGUGUUGUGAUGGUGAUUUCUCCUCUUGUUUCUCUGAGUGAAGCCAUCUUCAAAGUGUUGGUGUGUCUGUUCGACGUUCAGUGCCAUUCUCUCUGGAAGGAAGUAUUGUUGUGACAUUUGCCGAAAAUAAGUACGUGGUAUCUGAUCCGAGAACUGUGUGGCCUGAAUGUGUUUACAAUCCGAGGGACUUGUGUGUAUCCUAUCCGAGGGACUUGUUGCUUGAGUGUGUAUUAAUGGAUAGUGCUUUCAAUGGUUUAACUAAUUUCUUAUGAGAUUAACUUGUCGCCUGAGUGUGUAUCCGAUCCAAGCCUCAAGUUAAUGAAUAAAUCUACAGAGCUGAUGUUUUACUUAGCUGUCUCUGUCUACAGUAUAUGCAGAGAGGUAGCCUCUUCUUUUUCUUUUUUCUGUUCUUUAUCACAAUAAGAUAAAAUACUGUUUUAACGUUCAAUGAGAUAAAUACGGUAAAUAAUAAA